rnacentral:rRNA from 1 species
UACGGAGGAUGCAGGCGUUAUCCGGAAUGAUUGGGCGUAAAGCGUCCGCAGGUGGCAAUGUAAGUCUGCUGUCAAAGCGUCUGGCUCAACCAGAUAAAGGCAGUGGAAACUACAUAGCUAGAGUAAGGUAGGGGUAGAGGGAAUUCCUGGUGUAGCGGUGAAAUGCGUAGAGAUCAGGAAGAACACCGGUGGCGAAGGCGGCAUCCUGGACUGGUCCUGACACUCAGGAGCGAAAGCGUGGGGAGCGAUCCGG